rnacentral:rRNA from 1 species
GUCGAACGGUGUCUUCGGACAUAGUGGCGCACGGGUGCGUAACACGUAUGCAACCUACCUUACAUUGGGGGAUAGCCUUUCGAAAGGGAGAUUAAUACCGCAUAAGACAGUAACUUGGCAUCAAGUAGCUGUUAAAGAUUUAUCGAUGUAAGCUGGGCAUGCGUCCAAUUAGCUAGUUGGUGAGGUAAUGGCUCACCAAGGCUAUGAUUGGUAGGGGAACUGAGAGGUCAAUCCCCCACACUGGCACUGAGAUACGGGCCAGACUCCUACGGGAGGCAGCAGUAGGGAAUAUUGGGCAAUGGACGCAAGUCUGACCCAGCCAUGCCGCGUGCAGGAUGAAGGCGUUAUGCGUUGUAAACUGCUUUUAUACAGGAAGAAACGACUCUUGCGAGAGGCAUUGACGGUACUGUAUGAAUAAGCACCGGCUAACUCCGUGCCAGCAGCCGCGGUAAUACGGAGGGCGCAAGCGUUGUCCGGAUUUAUUGGGUUUAAAGGGUGCGCAGGUGGUUCAUUAAGUCAGUGGUGAAAGACGGUCGCUCAACGAUUGCAGUGCCAUUGAAACUGGUAGACUUGGGUAAAGUAGAGGUGGGCGGAAUUGAUAGUGUAGUGGUGAAAUGCAUAGAUAUUAUCAAGAACUCCAAUUGCGUAGGCAGCUCACUUGGCUUUUACUGACACUCAUGCACGAAAGUGUGGGUAUCAAACAGGAUUAGAUACCCUGGUAGUCCACACUGUAAACGAUGAUAACUAGGU